AAAAAUUAAGUGACACAGGGCUUUAUUUAAUUAAACAAUUAUUAUUAUAUAUGAAUUAAAUAAAAUAAAAUAUGAGACCUGAAGGAAAUCUCCAAUGUUAAUAACCAAAGCAUGAGGAUGAGGCUUGACAUGGAUCCAACCCUGUGGGGUCUCAACCUGCAAGCCCCCAAUAUGGUCCUGCAGCAACACCGUAAGAGCCCCUGGAUCAGCAUGCGAAUUAAGACCCACCGUUAGAUCAGGCUGAGGGCAAAACGGGUAAUAAUGGCCCAGCAUACCUCUUCCUUCCCCCAAACCCAUCUCCCUGAACCUCUCCGCACCCAAUCCCAGCCCCUCACUCAGCAACUCAAACAACACACGUGACACACGCGCCACCUCCUUAUUCCACUCCACCACCUCUUCUCUGCACAUCUCGGGAAUCUCGCUGGGAUCAACGGCUAUGGGCCCCAUUCUUAUCUGCAAAAUCAAAAUUAAAACUCAUAUUUGUUUUAUGAUGUAAUACAAUUUAUUUAUUUUCAAUGCCGAUUAAGUUUAAAUGUUUUCCAAAAAUUUAUAUUAUUUAAAGUUAAAAAAAUAGUUUGUGUGCCUUUUUAGAAAGAAAUUUUAAAUAAUAAACACCAAAUAUUAGUUAGCACUUUCGAGGCUUGUAAAAAGGUUAAAUUUUAGUUUUGGUUCUUAUUUUAUUUUUUAUACGCGAUUUGGGUAAACAAUUUUUUUUUGUGACGUGUUAUAAAACGUUUGUAACUUUAAUUCAAUUAUUAUCAAUUUUGUAACUUUAAAAUUAGAACAAGUUUUAAAUAUCUGAAGAUUAAAUAUAAAAAAAAGAAACUAAAAUUAAAGAGACCAAUAUAUUGUUAACUAAUACAAAUAGUUUUGAUAUAAUAUUUAAGAUAAUUAUUACUAAAUAUCGUAGAUUUAUUAUUUAUGGUGAAUAGUGAUUAGAAGGCUUACGCUAUGCUGAAAGUCACCGAGAAAUUAAAAUUCUCAUAUAUUUCAGUUUUUAGUAGUAAUAAAAAAUUUAAUCUUACACACACAAAAAUCAUUCACUUUAAAUUUACAAAAAUAAAAUAAAAAAUCUCUUUCAUCAUAAUUAAUUAUAUAUUACUAUUAAUUUUUUUAAUAACAUGUGAUACUAAAGAUGAAGUAUUAAUAGAAUUAAAAUUUCGUUAGUUACUAGUAUUGUGUCACGCCAGCUGGCAGCUUUUGAUUGGAAGAGAUCCACGUUAGAAAAGUACGAUACGCCCUUUCCCAUCUCUCUACGGUACACCGGCACCCUGUCCUCCGCGGGCUGCUCGUGGAACGCCUUCACCGCCGCCAGAGUUCGCCGGAGUACCUGCUCCGGGACGCCGUGGUUGAUCACCUGGAAGAACCCCACCGUGCUCGCCGCCUGCCGAACCUGCUCCACCACGGCGGCGCGCGACCCCUGCACGGCGGCCAGGUCCACCGUGGGAAUCACCGGCGCAGAUUCGGAUUCGAACCCGCGCUUCAGCUCCGCUAAGGUUUCGGGCGGGUGAACGAAGAUAGCGGGGAUAGCCUUGAUUCCCGAAUCGACCAAACCUUUGACUCCGACCUUGGUUUCUUCGAACUCCUUCACCGCUUUGGCGCGGUUGUACGGCGCGGCGGCGCUGACAGCGGUUGCCACCGGUGAUGACAUUGGGAAGAGGCGAGAAUAGGAAUCGUUGUUUGAGUGUAGAGAGUUCAAAUUCAGUGUAAAGUGAAUUGAAAACUAUAAAGUGCACUUUUCUGAUUCGGCACAAAAAAUAAAUAACAAAAAUAUAUUACUCAAGAAACUUCACUAAUUCUAGUCAUUUUUUUAUUCAACAGGUUUUUUUUUCUUAUAUAAAAGCGUUACAUAUUCAUUUUGAAAUAAUAUGUCAAGUAACCAUAAUUAUUUGUUAUUACAUAAAAAAUAUAUAUUAUUAAAAAAAUAUAAAAAUAUAAAAUGAUUAGAACAAAAUCUUUAUAUUAAUAAAAAUAAUAUAUAAAUAAAUUAACAUAUUCAUAAAAAAUUCUAAAAUCAAAUUAAAAUUAAAUACAUAUUUUUUCCUUAAUUUAUCGAAAACACUCACUUUUAGAACAAAUAAUAUUUUAAAUAUAAUAAUUAAUUUUAAUAAUACUAUAUUUCUUCAUAAGAAUAUUCAAAUUAUAGUGAUGUUAUCAGUUACCUAACACUAAAAUAAUAUAAAUUUGGCCUUAUAGGAUGUUUUUAGAAUGUUGAAUUUUUACUAGAAAAUAAAAUAAAAUAAAAUUUAUUUGAAACACUAAAAUAAAAUAACACUAAAACAUAAUAUCUUACUAGAAAAUAAAAUUCUAGUUCUGUAAUGUGAGUGAUAAGAAUAUUUGAACUCAACCAGUCAAAGAUAUUGACUUUAUAUCUAUCAAAUUUAUCGUACUUAAAUCUACUAAAAUAUAAUUUCAUAAUUUAUUUAUAUAUACUAAUUCAUAGAAUAAUUUGUUCGUGUUUUUAUUAUGUAUUAAUUAAAGGUUUCGAUUUUUUUGUAUUUUAAACUUUAAUUCUUUAAAUUUUAAUCAAUAUUAUAAUUAGUAAAUAAAAUAAUAUGUUAGUCCACUUUGUUAGAAACUAGGGAAAUAAAAGGCGUGCCUAUAUGUUUAUAUUUUUUUAUGAUAAUAAUAAAAGAUAAUUAAUAUAAUUAUUGUUAUUACAAUGAAAUGUAAUUAUCCUAAAAAAGUUAGCUAAUGAAUAUAAAAACAGAGAGAAUAAAUUAAUAAAAAUAGUGUAUAAAAAAUAGUCAUGAAAACUAAUUCAUAGCUAAUAUUAAAAUGACGAUCAAUGAAAAUAAGAUUUUUUAUAAGUCAAGAUUUUUAGCUUUAUUGACAAUGAUUAGUUUCAAAUUAAUAUUAUUAAAAAUUAUUUAUCCAUAGAUGUUUGAUGUUAAUGGGGUUUUAUUUAGAUGUUAGCCAAAAGACUUCUAUUGAAAUUUUUAGUAGCUAUUUUUCAUCUGCUAAAAUUAUUUUAUGAACAAUAUUUCUAAUAUUAUUUGACGAUAAUUUUUGUAUUUAAAUUUUUUAUUUAGUAAUAAUUAAAAUACUCAAUUCAAAAAGUAAUAAAUUUGAAUUUUCUUGUUCAAACAAAAUAUUUGAAUAUUAAAAAUUAAAAAUAAAAGUAAGUGAAAUGGAAUAUAUUUAAACUUUUUAAAAAAUAUAGAAUUUUGACCAUAGAAUAAAAAAAUGUAUUAACAAGGGAAGAAGGGGUUGGUGAAGGCAUGGAAAGGUUAGAGUAUAUUCAACUUUCUGAAUAUGACUUUUAAACAAUUUUAUUCAAUCAAUGCUACAAUAUACAUUAUUGAAUAUUUGAGGUGCCUUGAAUUUUGGACUGUUUCUUCUUCUACCAUCAUAGUUUCUUCCUACCUUCAAUCUCAUAAUUCUUAAAAUAUCAAAAAUAUAUUUUAUUCUAUUAAUGUUUUUUUUUUAAAUAAUAUCAAUCUCAUUUUUUAAAAUAUCAAAAAUAUUUUCUAUUUUAUUAAUUUUUUUAAUUUCUAAAUAAUAAUUUGAAAAAACUUUGAAUUAUAGAAUUUAUAAAAUAACUUGUGGAGGUAUUUUUCGUGGAGUAUGGGAGAAUUUAUUGGAGCUUUACUGAGUUUCUUGAAGUUCAAACUGCUCUUCCUGUUGUGUUUUAUGGGGUUAUACAUGCUAUGGAGGAAGCUUAAAAGAUGUGGCUUACUUUUGUUUAGCUAGAAUGUGAUUCUACUUUGAUUUAAUCGAUGAAAUAUUUGUCUUAAUUAUUGUGAAAAAAUUAGAUUUAGGUUUACUCAUAUUUUUCGCGAAGGGAAUGCGUAGGCUGAUAAGUUAACUAAUUUAGAAUUUAUUCAUAGAAAAUCUUUUCAUUGUUAUAAUAAGCUACUAUCUAGUAUGUUUUUAAAAUUCUUUAUAAAUAAAUAUAGUUUACAUAUGUAUCGUUUUUGUUAAUAUAUAGAUUUUAGUUUAGUCACCCUAUAUUUUUUUAUUUUUUUUUAAUAAUAUUUUUUUUUAUGUGAUGGCAAAUGAUUGUUAUUACUUGAGAUGUCAACAUAACUAAGAUGGAUGCCUAACAUAAAAACUUUUAUUUAAAAAAAAAAUCUUCAUAAUUUUAUAAACUAAAAUGUGUUUUUUUAAAAAAAUAUUUCAAAUUAUUAAAUUUGAAAGGUAUUUCUAAAUCAAAGAAUAAAUUUUGAAUUCCAUAAUCUUGAAUUUAUUUUAUUUUAGAAAAAAUAUAUUCUGAAUUGUAGAAUCCAUAACUACAAUCCAGAUAUAUAAAUUAAAAAAAAAUACAUUCAAAAAUUAUAAAAUCUAUAAAUUAUUUUUAGAUUUGAAAAUAUAUUUUAAAUUCUUUAAUUCAUAAUAUAUUUUUUAAAGAAUACAAUAUUUUUGGAUUACUUAUAUUCCAGACUAAAUAAGAAAAAUUACAUUUUAAAUUGUAAAAUUUAGAAAAUACAUUCCAAAUUUUUUAAAAAUAAAAUAAUAUUUUCGUCUGAAAUAUAACAAUGUUAGAAGAAGCUAUAGAGAUUAGAAGAAGCUAUGAAGGUUUAAGAAGAAAGAGUCUCACCAUGUUUCAUGAAAAUUAUUAACUCAAUAAAAGAAGAGAAAGUUAUAAAGAUGUUUUAUAUUUGACCACCAGUCUCCACACAUUAAAGAUGAAAAAAUUAAUUUUCUCACCCGAAAGAUAUUUAUAAUCUCUUAUUAAAAAAUUAUAAAUUAAUUUAUACAACAAUUAAUUUAAAUUUUUAAAAAAUAUUCUCCCAAAAAUAUUUAUACAAAAUUUUGUCUAAAAAAAUUCUAAGUGUAUAGAGAUUCAUCAUUUUCAAGUACUUUUUUAAGUAUUUGAAUGUUCACUCUUACCCAAAAUAUGUAAAAAGAAGUUUCAAUAUAUUCUAAAUAGUACAUAAGAAAAUAGUUACAACCACAUCAUUGUUUUUUCUAGAACCUUCUGAAACAUUCUAAGGCUUUCCAAAAUAUUAAAACAUUCUACAACCUCAUUAAAGUUUCUAAUUUAUACCUUAAAUAAUUUUAAUCUAUAGAAAAGCGCUUUCUUGUCUUGUAAAAGUUCUAAAAGAAGUUUUAUAAAUUAACUAGUUUGUUACCAACACUGAAAAAUAUACAUGCAAUAUAGGAUGACACAAUGUUUAGUUAGAGAUCCAAUACCAAUUUAAGUCAUAAUAAGAAUGAAAAAGUUAGACAUCAAAUAAAAAAAACAUAAAUUCUUAGAAAAAUUUUAUGAAUUGAUAUAAUCUACUUAUGUAUCGUUUUUGUUAACAUAUGAGUUUUGGUCUAAUUUUAUUUUUUUUUAAUAAUAUUUUUUUCAUACGAUAACAAAUGAUUAUUGUCACUUGAGGUGUCAGCAUAGCUGAAAUGUCAAAUUGCAUAAUAAUGCCUAAAAUAAAAACUUUUAUUUAAAAAAAAAUCAUAAAUUCAUUUGAGUUGAAAAAUGUCUAAUAUGUGUUACUAAAACUAGAGUAUAUCAUAAGUGAGGGAGGAACCAUUAUUGUUUCAAUUCAUCAACCACCUUUAACCUUUUAUUCACAAUAUAAACUAAUUAGUUUAAAAUAUCAUCAUAUCACAUCAACCUUUUUAAAUCAAUACUUAAAAAGUUUUUAACAUAUACAAUCAGAAACUAUAGGUGCUAAGUGUGUGUUCAUCACUGCCUGAAGAAAUUUGUGAGUGAUUUACCAUCCAACUCUUUCUUGAAGAAUCUGGUCAUAAAUUCAUGGAAAGUGAAGUUCCUGUAAAGGGCUGGUUUCUCGGUUGAUGUUAGCUCUGGCAAUGGUCCAAAGAGUUUCUCCCUGUCACUUGGAUUGAGGAAAACAGCAACUGAGACUCUAGCCUCAUUACAAUGAUUAGCUAACACUCGAUGAUGAGCACUCUUAUAUGCUUCGUUAGAAAUUAUCUGAAACACAAAAUAAUGAAUAUGAAAGAUCAGAAAAAGGGAUGUCAUAAAACAAUUCCUACAUAUAUAACCUGGUAGACCUUCAAAUUUAACCAAAGUUUUUCUUGAAGUUAUAAAUGGUUCAAAUAAUAUGUUUACAAAAUCAUAAAAGUCACGUUGAUGCUAAGUUAACAAAUUGAUUUCAUAACUUUGCUUCAAAAUCUUAAUUCUAAUUAAUUUAAUUCCGUUCUUUUUGUUUGUCAAAUGCAUUCUCUUCAAAAUUAAGACCACUAAUAAUCUAUUAUUUUCAUUCUAUUAAACCAACUAACCACCAACUUCACCAACUUGACCAUAACAUUUUAAAGUAAAUAUUUUAGAUAAAUAAUGAUGAAAGGAUUAAAAAUAAUGUAAUUCUCAAGUGUUUUAAGAUGUUUCAAAUUAUUGACCCACAUGAAACAUCCAUCAUCAUAAGCACAAAAAUUAAGUGAAACAAGGCUUUAUUUAAUUAAACAAUUAUUAUUAUAUAUGAACAAAAUAAAAUAAAAUAUGAACCUGAAGGAAAUCUCCAAUGUUAAUAACCAAAGCUUGAGGCUGAGGCUUCACAUGGAUCCAACCAUCUGGAGUCUCAACCUGCAAGCCCCCAAUAUGGUCCUGCAGCAACACCGUAAGAGCCCCUGGAUCAGUAUGUGAAUUGAGACCCACCGUUAGAUCAGGCUGAGGGCAAAACGGGUAAUAGUG
rnacentral:lncRNA from 1 species